GAAAACCACACAAAUUAAAAAUGGCCACAUAAUUACCAUUUCCAGCGCUGGGAAACACGAUUUGAGAUCAUAUGCAUUAGUGCAUCUUGCAACUCAAGAAUAUGUGUCAUCACUGACUUCAGUUCUAAAAAACGAAGUUGAAAGCUCGGAGCUACCAAUUCGAGUUACCGAAAUUCCUAUCCCUCGUAAUUUAGUGGAUGAGAGUAAAAAAGAUGAUGAGAACAAAGAUUCCCCAUGGCCCAACAUUAGCGCCGAGGACGUUGCUAAGGCAAUUUGCAACGCUAUCUCUCUCCCGGUAAUCUCUCGCAGAAACCCGUCCAUUAAUUAAUGCACACGCCAAUGUAUG